GAGGGCUUUAAAAACAUUCUACUAGAAAUCAAGAGGAUGAAAAAGAUAUUAUAAGCUAGGAGAUUGGUUAGGACUCAGAAAGAACAACAGAUUGUUGAUCGCUUCCACUGAGCCCAAUGAUCCAAGGAUACACAAUGAUCCAAAAAUUCACAAAUCACGACAGCAGUGAAAUACCUGCAAGAACACUGGCCAACUCCCACAUCUUGGUGGCAGCUAAACUG